ensembl:lncRNA
GUAUUACUUAAUCCCCUGCUUGGAGACAAAUGGCUUGGUGUCAGGAACUCUACUGAGAAACAAUGUGCAUAUUUUUUUUGCUUUAGUUUAUAGCAGCCCUUGUCUUUGCAGGGAAAAAAAUUCUGUUAUGGAAUAGCUUUCUUUUAUGAGCACCGGCAGGGUUUCUGGGAGAGAAGGCGAUCUUAAGAGUUUUUAAGGGCUGAGGUUCCAAGAGUCUUAAGUAAGGGCCAGGAGCUUUGUCAGAGCUCACUGCUUCCUUUGCCUCAUAAAACUGCUAUCUCCAUCCAUCUCUGUUUAUUUUUCUCCUGCUUUUUAAUUUGCCUAAUGGACUUCAGCUGAAGACUUUCCUCAGCGUCUGAGGCAAGUCAAGUCUAAUAAAGCCCUGAGGACUUAGCUGGCUGAGUUCAGCACUUUUGGAUGAUUUUUGUCUGACUUUCAUCUUUGCUGCUGCCGAGUGGAUGGCUGUGGAGCACCCUGGACCCGGCCUGGAGGACCUGGAGCCUGGGAAGCUGACACUGGAUGAGUCAUUCUUGUCUCCUCUGGACGGCCUCUGGUUGGCUGGUCUCUGCAGGGCAAGCCUGGACCAGAAAAUCUCAAGAAUAGGAGUGAUCACCAAGCCCCCUCGUCACCUCCUCUCCGGGAGACUGAAGCUGAUGGCAGAUGAUGACAGCGCCCUGGACUCAGAGCUUCCGGCUUGGUUGUGCUAGGGAGUGAGUGAGGAUGUGAGGUCUCCCUCACGGCCUGUCCACCCUGGGCAGGAAAAUUUCCCCAUUUUCCCAUUGGUCUCCAUGGGGAGCUGGAAUGCAGUGGACAUCUUUCCCGGAAGCCGUGAUGUCUGAGAUAAGAGGAGAGCAUUUCAGCGGAACUUUUCUUAGCCUCCUGUACAGUGUCCUUAUUUGCUUCUUAAAAAAAAAACCAAAAAACAAAAAAAACAGUGUAUCCUUUAUUUGAAAUGUUGUUUAUUAAAUGCACUCGAUUUCUUCACGCAUCUCUUUCCCCUGGGACUCAGAGAAACUGAAAUGUCCCUGGUCUUCAGCCUCCCAGCUUUAGUUAAAUGGGCUUUUUCCUGGACAUAAAGGGCAAAAUAAAAUGGAGAAUAC